AGUUUUUUAUUAUAUUUUUAUCAAUAAGUUUGAUUGCAAAUCAAAAAAUGAAAUAUUUAAUUAUUUCAAGAGCUU
rnacentral:tRNA from 1 species